rnacentral:rRNA from 1 species
GGGUUGUGAGGUUAAGCGACUAAGCGUACACGGUGGAUGCCCUGGCAGUCAGAGGCGAUGAAGGACGUGCUAAUCUGCGAUAAGCGUCGGUGAGGUGAUAUGAACCGUUAUAACCGGCGAUUUCCGAAUGGGGAAACCCAGUGUGUUUCGACACACUAUCAUUAACUGAAUCCAUAGGUUAAUGAGGCGAACCGGGGGAACUGAAACAUCUAAGUACCCCGAGGAAAAGACAUCAACCGAGAUUCCCCCAGUAGCGGCGAGCGAACGGGGAGGAGCCCAGAGCCUGAAUCAGUGUGUGUGUUAGUGGAAGCGUCUGGAAAGGCGCGCGAUACAGGGUGACAGCCCCGUACACAAAAAUGCACAUAUUGUGAGCUCGAUGAGUAGGGCGGGACACGUGGUAUCCUGUCUGAAUAUGGGGGGACCAUCCUCCAAGGCUAAAUACUCCUGACUGACCGAUAGUGAACCAGUACCGUGAGGGAAAGGCGAAAAGAACCCCGGCGAGGGGAGUGAAAAAGAACCUGAAACCGUGUACGUACAAGCAGUGGGAGCCUCUUUAUGGGGUGACUGCGUACCUUUUGUAUAAUGGGUCAGCGACUUAUAUUCUGUAGCAAGGUUAACCGAAUAGGGGAGCCGAAGGGAAACCGAGUCUUAACUGGGCGUUAAGUUGCAGGGUAUAGACCCGAAACCCGGUGAUCUAGCCAUGGGCAGGUUGAAGGUUGGGUAACACUAACUGGAGGACCGAACCGACUAAUGUUGAAAAAUUAGCGGAUGACUUGUGGCUGGGGGUGAAAGGCCAAUCAAACCGGGAGAUAGCUGGUUCUCCCCGAAAGCUAUUUAGGUAGCGCCUCGUGAAUUCAUCUCCGGGGGUAGAGCACUGUUUCGGCAAGGGGGUCAUCCCGACUUACCAACCCGAUGCAAACUGCGAAUACCGGAGAAUGUUAUCACGGGAGACACACGGCGGGUGCUAACGUCCGUCGUGAAGAGGGAAACAACCCAGACCGCCAGCUAAGGUCCCAAAGUCAUGGUUAAGUGGGAAACGAUGUGGGAAGGCCCAGACAGCCAGGAUGUUGGCUUAGAAGCAGCCAUCAUUUAAAGAAAGCGUAAUAGCUCACUGGUCGAGUCGGCCUGCGCGGAAGAUGUAACGGGGCUAAACCAUGCACCGAAGCUGCGGCAGCGACACUAUGUGUUGUUGGGUAGGGGAGCGUUCUGUAAGCCUGUGAAGGUGGCCUGUGAGGGUUGCUGGAGGUAUCAGAAGUGCGAAUGCUGACAUAAGUAACGAUAAAGCGGGUGAAAAGCCCGCUCGCCGGAAGACCAAGGGUUCCUGUCCAACGUUAAUCGGGGCAGGGUGAGUCGACCCCUAAGGCGAGGCCGAAAGGCGUAGUCGAUGGGAAACAGGUUAAUAUUCCUGUACUUGGUGUUACUGCGAAGGGGGGACGGAGAAGGCUAUGUUGGCCGGGCGACGGUUGUCCCGGUUUAAGCGUGUAGGCUGGUUUUCCAGGCAAAUCCGGAAAACCAAGGCUGAGGCGUGAUGACGAGGCACUACGGUGCUGAAGCGACAAAUGCCCUGCUUCCAGGAAAAGCCUCUAAGCAUCAGGUAACAUCAAAUCGUACCCCAAACCGACACAGGUGGUCAGGUAGAGAAUACCAAGGCGCUUGAGAGAACUCGGGUGAAGGAACUAGGCAAAAUGGUGCCGUAACUUCGGGAGAAGGCACGCUGAUAUGUAGGUGAAGCGACUUGCUCGUGGAGCUGAAAUCAGUCGAAGAUACCAGCUGGCUGCAACUGUUUAUUAAAAACACAGCACUGUGCAAACACGAAAGUGGACGUAUACGGUGUGACGCCUGCCCGGUGCCGGAAGGUUAAUUGAUGGGGUUAGCGGUAACGCGAAGCUCUUGAUCGAAGCCCCGGUAAACGGCGGCCGUAACUAUAACGGUCCUAAGGUAGCGAAAUUCCUUGUCGGGUAAGUUCCGACCUGCACGAAUGGCGUAAUGAUGGCCAGGCUGUCUCCACCCGAGACUCAGUGAAAUUGAACUCGCUGUGAAGAUGCAGUGUACCCGCGGCAAGACGGAAAGACCCCGUGAACCUUUACUAUAGCUUGACACUGAACAUUGAGCCUUGAUGUGUAGGAUAGGUGGGAGGCUUUGAAGUGUGGACGCCAGUCUGCAUGGAGCCGACCUUGAAAUACCACCCUUUAAUGUUUGAUGUUCUAACGUUGGCCCGUAAUCCGGGUUGCGGACAGUGUCUGGUGGGUAGUUUGACUGGGGCGGUCUCCUCCUAAAGAGUAACGGAGGAGCACGAAGGUUGGCUAAUCCUGGUCGGACAUCAGGAGGUUAGUGCAAUGGCAUAAGCCAGCUUGACUGCGAGCGUGACGGCGCGAGCAGGUGCGAAAGCAGGUCAUAGUGAUCCGGUGGUUCUGAAUGGAAGGGCCAUCGCUCAACGGAUAAAAGGUACUCCGGGGAUAACAGGCUGAUACCGCCCAAGAGUUCAUAUCGACGGCGGUGUUUGGCACCUCGAUGUCGGCUCAUCACAUCCUGGGGCUGAAGUAGGUCCCAAGGGUAUGGCUGUUCGCCAUUUAAAGUGGUACGCGAGCUGGGUUUAGAACGUCGUGAGACAGUUCGGUCCCUAUCUGCCGUGGGCGCUGGAGAACUGAGGGGGGCUGCUCCUAGUACGAGAGGACCGGAGUGGACGCAUCACUGGUGUUCGGGUUGUCAUGCCAAUGGCACUGCCCGGUAGCUAAAUGCGGAAGAGAUAAGUGCUGAAAGCAUCUAAGCACGAAACUUGCCCCGAGAUGAGUUCUCCCUGAGACUUAGAGUCUCCUGAAGGAACGUUGAAGACGACGACGUUGAUAGGCCGGGUGUGUAAGCGCAGCGAUGCGUUGAGCUAACCGGUACUAAUGAACCGUGAGGCUUAACCUUACAACGCCGAAG